GGAAGCCGGUGGGAAUCCGGCGCAGUAGCGCUACUGUGACGCCUCAGCACGACGGGGCGGAGCCAGAC
rnacentral:ncRNA from 1 species